UGGGGAAUCUUGGACAAUGGGGGCAACCCUGAUCCAGCCAUGCCGCGUGAGUGAUGAAGGCCUUAGGGUCGUAAAGCUCUUUCGCCUGUGAAGAUAAUGACGGUAGCAGGUAAAGAAACCCCGGCUAACUCCGUGCCAGCAGCCGCGGUAAUACGGAGGGGGUUAGCGUUGUUCGGAAUUACUGGGCGUAAAGCGCACGUAGGCGGACCAGAAAGUUGGGGGUGAAAUCCCGGGGGCUCAACCCCGGAACUGCCUCCAAAACUAUUGGUCUAGAGUUCGAGAGAGGUGAGUGGAAUUCCAAGUGUAGAGGUGAAAUUCGUAGAUAUUUGGAGGAACACCAGUGGCGAAGGCGGCUCACUGGCUCGAUACUGACGCUGAGGUGCGAAAGUGUGGGGAGCAAACAGGAUUAGAUACCCCUGGUAGUCCACACCGUAAAACGAUGAAUGCCAGUCGUCGGGUAGCAUGCUAUUCGGUGACACACCUAACGGAUUAAGCAUUCCGGCCUGGGGAGUACGGUCGCAAGAUUAAAACCUCAAA
rnacentral:rRNA from 1 species